CUCAGAUUGAACGCUGGCGGCAGGCCUAACACAUGCAAGUCGAGCGGUAGCACAGGGAGCUUGCUCUUGGGUGACGAGCGGCGGACGGGUGAGUAAUGUCUGGGAAACUGCCUGAUGGAGGGGGAUAACUACUGGAAACGGUAGCUAAUACCGCAUAACGUCGCAAGACCAAAGAGGGGGACCUUCGGGCCUCUUGCCAUCAGAUGUGCCCAGAUGGGAUUAGCUAGUAGGUGGGGUAACGGCUCACCUAGGCGACGAUCCCUAGCUGGUCUGAGAGGAUGACCAGCCACACUGGAACUGAGACACGGUCCAGACUCCUACGGGAGGCAGCAGUGGGGAAUAUUGCACAAUGGGCGCAAGCCUGAUGCAGCCAUGCCGCGUGUAUGAAGAAGGCCUUCGGGUUGUAAAGUACUUUCAGCGGGGAGGAAGGCGAUAAGGUUAAUAACCUUGUCGAUUGACGUUACCCGCAGAAGAAGCACCGGCUAACUCCGUGCCAGCAGCCGCGGUAAUACGGAGGGUGCAAGCGUUAAUCGGAAUUACUGGGCGUAAAGCGCACGCAGGCGGUCUGUCAAGUCGGAUGUGAAAUCCCCGGGCUCAACCUGGGAACUGCAUUCGAAACUGGCAGGCUAGAGUCUUGUAGAGGGGGGUAGAAUUCCAGGUGUAGCGGUGAAAUGCGUAGAGAUCUGGAGGAAUACCGGUGGCGAAGGCGGCCCCCUGGACAAAGACUGACGCUCAGGUGCGAAAGCGUGGGGAGCAAACAGGAUUAGAUACCCUGGUAGUCCACGCCGUAAACGAUGUCGACUUGGAGGUUGUGCCCUUGAGGCGUGGCUUCCGGAGCUAACGCGUUAAGUCGACCGCCUGGGGAGUACGGCCGCAAGGUUAAAACUCAAAUGAAUUGACGGGGGCCCGCACAAGCGGUGGAGCAUGUGGUUUAAUUCGAUGCAACGCGAAGAACCUUACCUACUCUUGACAUCCAGAGAACUUUCCAGAGAUGGAUUGGUGCCUUCGGGAACUCUGAGACAGGUGCUGCAUGGCUGUCGUCAGCUCGUGUUGUGAAAUGUUGGGUUAAGUCCCGCAACGAGCGCAACCCUUAUCCUUUGUUGCCAGCGGUCCGGCCGGGAACUCAAAGGAGACUGCCAGUGAUAAACUGGAGGAAGGUGGGGAUGACGUCAAGUCAUCAUGGCCCUUACGAGUAGGGCUACACACGUGCUACAAUGGCGCAUACAAAGAGAAGCGACCUCGCGAGAGCAAGCGGACCUCAUAAAGUGCGUCGUAGUCCGGAUUGGAGUCUGCAACUCGACUCCAUGAAGUCGGAAUCGCUAGUAAUCGUAGAUCAGAAUGCUACGGUGAAUACGUUCCCGGGCCUUGUACACACCGCCCGUCACACCAUGGGAGUGGGUUGCAAAAGAAGUAGGUAGCUUAACCUUCGGGAGGGCGC
rnacentral:rRNA from 1 species